rnacentral:other from 1 species
GAAUCUCUGGCGUGUUCGCGAUGGCGCCUUAUUUAAUGAGACUCCGCUAUGCCGACCCGCGGGGAUCUGUACCUUGUCGUGGCGUGCAGGCCGGUCACAGCGUAUCGGAAGCCAAAAGCGACAACACGGAGCCCACCUUUUUUAGGACGCGGAGUCGUUAACGUGUUCAAAACGGCACGCCGGAAUUUUU